rnacentral:rRNA from 1 species
CCUUGCCAGCCCGCUCAGAAACUCAAAGGAAUUGACGGGGGCCCGCACAAGCGGUGGAGCAUGUGGUUUAAUUCGAUGAUACGCGAGGAACCUUACCUGGGCUCAAAUGUAUGUUGACGUAUUCUGAAAGGGAUACUUCUUCGGACAAUAUACAAGGUGCUGCAUGGUUGUCGUCAGCUCGUGCCGUGAGGUGUCGGGUUAAGUCCCAUAACGAGCGCAACCCUAUCAUUAGUUGCCAUCAGGUCAAGCUGGGGACUCUAAUGAAACUGCCUACGCAAGUAGUGAGGAAGGUGGGGAUGACGUCAAAUCAGCACGGCCCUUACGUCCAGGGCUACACACGUGCUACAAUGGCCGGUACAAAGGGCAGCUACCUGGUGACAGGAUGCAAAUCUCCAAAGUCGGUCUCAGUUCGGAUCGGAGUCUGCAACCCGACUCCGUGAAGUUGGAUUCGCUAGUAAUCGCGCAUCAGCCAUGGCGCGGUGAAUACGUUCCCGGGCCUU